rnacentral:rRNA from 1 species
UACGUAGGGUGCGAGCGUUGUCCGGAAUUAUUGGGCGUAAAGAGCUCGUAGGCGGUUUGUUGCGUCGACUGUGAAAACCUGGGGCUUAACUCUGGAAUUGCCUUCGAUACUGGGAGUCUUGAGUUCGGAAGAGGUUGGUGGAACUGCGAGUGUAGAGGUGAAAUUCGUAGAUAUUCGCAAGAACACCAGUGGCGAAGGCGGCUCACUGGCCCGGUACUGACGCUGAGGUGCGAAAGCGUGGGGAGCAAACAGG